rnacentral:rRNA from 1 species
CCCUUAGAUGUUCGGGGCCGCACGCGCGCUACACUGAAGGACUCAGCGUGUCUCUCCCCCUAUCCCGAAAGGGAUGGGCAACCCGUUGAACCUCCUUCGUGCUAGGGAUUGGGGUUUGCAAUUAUCCCCCAUGAACGAGGAAUUCCCAGUAAGCGCGAGUCAUCAGCUCGCGUUGAUUACGUCCCUGCCCUUUGUACACACCGCCCGUCGCUACUACCGAUUGGAUGGUUUAGUGAGACCCUCGGAUCGGUCCCGACUCGGGGUGGGCUUCUGCCCCGGUCGUGGUUUCGCCGAGAAGACGGCCAAACUUGACUAUCUAGAGGAAGUAAAAGUCGUAACA